UAUGCCGACCAUCAUCACCCUUCAUUAUACAAUGAAGAAUUAAAUUUAGAGUGGUAAUAGAAUUUCCAGUGAUUUAUAUUUUUAAAAAAAUAGAUUAUAAUUUACAGUCAGAUAUGUAAUAUUCUAACUGUGAGGUUCACAGAAUGCAGUGAUUGUGAUUCUGACAGACAGAAGGCUUUUUCACUAGUAGAAUAGCUGUGUUAUAGAUUGAGUAUACAACAAUAUCUAUUCAUAUACAGCAGGCAGAACAGAAGGCUUUUGAAGAUUUGAUUGAGCAUUCACAGUUGAGAGCGCAGAUUUGACUGAGCCGUAGAGUGUUGACUCUCUUUCUCUUCCCAGAGAAUUAAAGGAAUUAGAAGGUCAGAUUGAUGAUUUCCUUUUCAAUUCUUUAUAAAUAUAACAUAAAUCAAGAUCACAGUUUGUAACAACAGUACAAUUACUAUGCUAUAUCUAGUAUAUAUUAAUGUGAUAGAGGGUUGAUAUAUCAAGGAA
rnacentral:sRNA from 2 species